GUGCUCGCUUUGGCAGCACAUAUACUAAAAUUGGAACAAUACAGAGAAGAUUAGUAUGGCCCCUGUGCAAGGAUGACAUGUGAGAAAAAAAAUUAGAGAUACAUUUU